rnacentral:rRNA from 1 species
AGUGAACGCUGGCGGUAGGCCUAACACAUGCAAGUCGAACGGCAGCACAGUAAGAGCUUGCUCUUACGGGUGGCGAGUGGCGGACGGGUGAGGAAUACAUCGGAAUCUACUUUUUCGUGGGGGCUAACGUAGGGAAACUUACUCUAUUACCGCAUACAACCUCCGGGUGAAAGCAGGGGUCUUUCGAACCUUUCGGGAUGGAAUGAGCCGAUGUCGGAUUAGCUAGUUGGCGGGGUAAAGGCCCACCAAGGCGACGAUCCGUAGCGGGUCUGAGAGGAUGAUCAGCCACACUGGAACUGAGACACGGUCCAGACUCCUACGGGAGGCAGCAGUGGGGAAUAUUGGACAAUGGGCGCAAGCCUGAUCCAGCCAUACCGCGUGGGUGAAGAAGGCCUUCGGGUUGUAAAGCCCUUUUGUUGGGAAAGAAAAGCAGCAGGUUAAUACCCCGCUGUUCUGACGGUACCCAAAGAAUAAGCACCGGCUAACUUCGUG